rnacentral:rRNA from 1 species
UACGAAGGGGGCGAGCGUUGCUCGGAAUCACUGGGCGUAAAGCGCACGUAGGCGGAUUGUUAAGUCAGGGGUGAAAUCCUGGAGCUCAACUCCAGAACUGCCUUUGAUACUGGCGAUCUCGAGUCCGGGAGAGGUGAGUGGAACUGCGAGUGUAGAGGUGAAAUUCGUAGAUAUUCGCAAGAACACCAGUGGCGAAGGCGGCUCACUGGCCCGGUACUGACGCUGAGGUGCGAAAGCGUGGGGAGCAAACAGG